rfam:Myotis brandtii contig290853, whole genome shotgun sequence.
AGGGGCCGGCGGCUUCGGCAGCCUCGGGGAGGGGAUGCGGCGCACAUCGGCCAUUUUCAGCUCGGUGGGGCCAAGUUUGGAAUCUAACCUGGAGUUA